GUUGCAGUGGCAGAUCAGUGCAUCAGGUUUAAGCCCUGAAAAGGAAUAGAAUCCUGUAAUA
rnacentral:tRNA from 1 species